rnacentral:rRNA from 1 species
GACGAACGCUGGCGGCGUGCCUAAUACAUGCAAGUAGAACGCAGUUGCGAACGGGUGAGUAACGCGUAGGUAACUGCCUCAUAGCGGGGGAUAACGAUUGGAAACGAUAGCUAAUACCGCAUACUGUGAGAUGGACCUGCGUUUUAUUAGCUAGUUGGUGAGGUAAAGGCUCACCAAGGCGACGAUACAGAGCCGACCUGAGAGUGUGAUCGGCCCCACUUGGACUGGAACACGGCCCAGACUCAUACGGGAGGCAGCAGUAGGGAAUAUGCGGCAAUGGACGGAAGUCUGACCCAGAAACGCCGCGUUAGUGAAGAGGGUUUUCGUAUCGUAAAGCUUUGUUGUUAUAGAAUCGGUAACUAACCAGUAAGGGACGGCUAACUACGUGCCAGCAGCCGCGGUAAUUC